AUUAUUUUGGCAGAUUAGUGCAAUAAAUUUAGAAUUUAUAUAUGUUUAAUUACAAAUAAUACUUGUUUUA
rnacentral:tRNA from 1 species